UCCAAGUCUCUCCUUGAACAGAGGAAGCUAGAAGCUAAGAUCUGGGGAGAAACCAAAGAAGGGAGAGAUCAGUCCUCAAGCUUCCGACAAGUUUUAGCCUCUGCUGACUUUCUUUGCAACUUGGGUUAAGGCAGUUUUAAACUCAUUGCUGAGCCUUCACCUUCUGAAAAGAACUGUGACUCCAAUUUCCUCACCAGUAGGAUCAGAAGACAAUAUUAUUGACAUUUGAUAGUAUCACACUUGCCUUCUCAAUCAUCCAUACCCAACUUUGUUGUCCUUUCUCUACUCAGAGGAGUUCCUUUCUCCAGCAUGAGAGCCACAGACCAAUGAUUAAUGAUUAUGCUGAAGCUUCUUUCUCUUCACAUCCAUCUUGGAAUGAGUUUCAAUAUUUCCCUACCUUGCUUUCUGGCAGGCUUCUUGUGCUUUUCGUAGGUAGGUCUCAACAACCUAUAAUGACUUGCCUAACCGCUGAUAUGGGUGAUCCCUUGGGGGAACCUUGCCAGAUAUGGCACAUUAAAGAUGUCUAAGAUUUUUUUUUUCUCUUCCCAUCAAGAGGUUAAAGUGGGGCAAGAUGGGAUUGUUUAUAUGUCAUUUCCUGGAAAUUGUGUGACUGAUUGCUUUGGUCAAUAGAGAAAAUGGCACCAGUGACAUCGCACCGGUUGUCUGGCCUAGCCCUUAAGAAACUAGCAGGCUCCAUUUUCAGAUUCUUGGAAAACUUUUUCUAAGAUCACUGUGCCAUGUAAAAAGUACAGCUUCCUGAGACCUUACAUCAUGCUGGAGAGGCUAGCAUAGGCACUGCAGCCUACCUGAGCCCAGCCUGCCAGACAUUCCUGCCUGGGUGAUGCCAGCAUGUGCAUGAAGACACUUUGGACUCUCUUUUCAAACUAUGCAUAGAGGAAUACCCUGAGCAACCUCAGUCAGUGCUUUGAGCUGCUAAGGUUUUGGAUCUAUUAAAUACGGCAAUAAGUCACAGGAUCAUGAGAGAUGGGUGAAAAACCUGAAAACAGCUUUCAAGUCCAUCUGAGUUCUGGCUAUACAACCAUCCUCGGAAUAUAAUCUGUUUGCUAAAAAUCCUUCCAGUUCAAUCCCGAAGGUUAGAAGAAUCAUCAGAGCAUAAUUUGCUGGUCUUAACUGCAGCUUAAUUUUUCCUCAAUGUAGUUUAAGCCUUUAAUUACUAGAAAGGCCUCCCUAUGGCUGAUUUUGCUAGUUGCCUACUCAAUGUUCACUGUCCCCUUCUUUGUAAAACACUGAUUUGGAGGAGCUUUUACUGGAUUUAAUGGCAGUAAAAUGUAUAGGAAAUUGUUAGGUGGGACUUAAGGACUAUUUAGAGGCAGGAAAGACUGUUGGCAUGUCCCUUUCCAUCCCUUUCAUUAAAUUAAAAUGGUUAAAUGCACUAACUCAUCACUGCAGUAAACAGAAAAAUAUUUAUU